GGAGGGCAUCAUAGAGAGAUGGUGGCCCUAUGGAGGUCACCAUAGAGGGAUGGUGGCCAAUGGGGUGCGGAUGGUGGCCAUGGGCUUGGCAUGGUGAUGGGGUGGAUCCACGGAGUAUCAUAGAGGGGUGGGGGCCAAUGGGGUGGGGAUGGUGGUCAUGGGCUCGGCAUGGUGAUGGGAUGGAUCCAGGGGGCAUCAUGGAGGGAUGGUGGUCCCAUGGAGGUCACCAUAGAGGGGUGGUGGCCAAUGGGGUGGGGAUGUGGAGGGAUGGUGGCCCUAUGGAGAUCACCAUAGCGGGGUGGUGGCCAAUGGCGGUGGUGGAAUGGGAGGUGGAGGCCAUGG